AUACCUCUAAUCCCAGUACUGGGGAGGCUGAGGCAGGAGGAUCACCACAAGUUCAAAGCCAGUUGUGUCUCCCAGCAGUCAAGGGUGUGGGCUCAGAUGCCACAUAGGGAGAGGUGAUCGCAAGAGUCUCACCAUGGGUGGCUCUCACACCAUCCUUACUAGACAAGGUGCGGUGGGAACUGCACAGGUGAGGCAGCAGCAGGAACUAGUGUUUUUCUCAUCUGCUUUGGUAGAAAUUUCUAUCUGGGAGCAAGUUAUCACUGGGCCAGGUUCCUCAGAACCCGCUAGUCCUGUGCAUUUGGAGGCCAAGGCACAAUGGAAGGUAAAAAGUCCUUCAAGGUCAUUCAACAUGCUUCUGUAUGUGGGGUAGCAGUGGGGACAUGAUGCUCCCUUGCCACCCUUGCAGUAACAGUGCCUGAGCUCAGUGCAGGAGGGGCAGCAGGAACCACACUGGAACCUGCCCUCAGCCCUGGCACUACAGCAAAUUCACACAACUGGCUAUACCUUGGUUUCAGAGAACAAGUUCCCUGAUCUGGUAUUUCCCAUUCUUCCCCAAUGCUUGUUCCCUACACUGCAGAGUAUCUAGUGGGCUUGGGUCAGUCACUCUGCCAGCCCAAGUUGGAUUCCACAAAGUAGAUAACCCCCACACACACCCCAAGCCAGUGAAGUGGAAUACCUGCGGCAUCCUGGAGAUGGGUAUAUUCAGGGGGUUCAAACUCCUAGAGUGAUCUAAGAGCAGUCUAAAUUCAGUGUCUCCCUUCUCAAACUGUCUCCUGAUUCCAGCAUCCAGUGCUUGCUGGGAGAUGACAGUAAGGGCCUUUUCAAAGUCAGGCGACUGUGCUAAGUGCCCUAGAUGGACUGGACUGACACGCUCCAGUUGCUAUGACUGCAUCCACGUUGACUCUCUCACUAAGACUCCCUGUCCCCCGGCUCAGAAUCGAGAUGGAGUCUUUAACAGACAAGCUGACAGGGAAAAUUAAAAACCAGAGCUCUUCAAAUAUCUGCUACAGGAGGGACUGGAGAGAUGGCUCAGCAGUUAAGAGCAUUGACUGUUCUUACAGAGGACCUGGGUUCAAUUCCCAGCA